ACUGCAAACAGUCCACGGAACUGCGACAGUGGAAGCUCUUCAUCAUGAACAUAAUAGUAAAGGUACCACUGAUGGAGCGCCCACGGACGAGUAUGACCCGUGGGAACCUCCCCAUCCUCCUCCUCACCCCUCAUUAGCUGACUUGACGUGUCCUAUUCAACAUAUGAGGGAGUACAUGCUUCAACUGCAGCGUUUCCUUGCUGAUGCCAGAGCUACCAAUAUAAUCUCCCCCGACCGCACUCCCAAGGUUUUUUUAAUACUUGUUCAUUUAUAUGAUAGAUUGACUAUCGUCUGGCAUCUUACUAAUAUUCUCAAUAUUUUUUCUAGCUAUCCUGUAUGUUGCAACAUUAUAAAAGAAAUGUGGUUUUCAUCCCUCAACUAUUAUCUGAUUGUAACUUUCAACCCUAAAGUCGAAAACGUCUCGAAGUUGCUCCCUCAACUAUCAAUAAUGUGCAGCUUUCAUCAUUAAAGUGGUGUGGCGCCUACCUGUUGGCCACAUCACCCACCAGUUUCCGUCACGCUAUCAGUUCCCAUAAAAACAAUUUCAUAAAAUUGGUAAUAAUUUCAAGAGAUCUUUAAAAAGUUAGAAAACAAGAAAUGUUCUAGAGAAAAAAGUUCCCAAAAAUCACAUCUGUUUUUGUAUUAAAGAACUUCUAAAAGUGUAAACUGCAGAAAUAACUCAACUUCACGGAAAAAAAUACGAGGGAGACAUUUGUUUUCUCUUACAAUUUUUUUUGUUUUCUUAAUUUAGUUUUUUAGUUCAAAUGUUGUAAUGAACAUAAAGAAUAUCACACAGAAAAUUUGUGACAUGCUUGACAUAUGGUGGCGCUGUGACCUACAUAUGUAGGCGCCAUGUAAUUCGAAAUUGUUUUCGAAACCAUUAUGAGAGUUGCACGGUAUUGAACUAUUCAUAGUGGAGGGCUCAUAUUUGGGUGGUUUAAAAGUUUAGUGCUGAAAGCUACAUAUGUAAUAGUCGAGGGAUGAAAAAUUGCACUUUUUCCUAAUUUCAAUGGCAUAAAAUGCCUUUGUUAGUUGGAUAACUGAACUGAUUGCCUUUCAUUUUGUUUGUACAUGGAUUGGUCCAUCUAGGAAACGCUCGUGAAAUAUUAUGGCAUAUGUGAUCGUUUGUUGGCCGUCCUCCAAAAGGAUAGUGUUCCACGCUUCCUCCGCAUCUUUGAGAAGUACAGGGAGUGCUUGGUUUCUGGUUUUGUCAUCAUUCCACAAACCCUUGACUUAAUUAUUCUAGAGAAUGCCCUGCGUUGUGCUAAUCUUGUUUUGGAGGGCAAGUCGCCUAAGCUCUGCGGGGUACGUGCCAACCCCAACUACAUGACCAGCUUUGGGUACUUCCCCCUCCACCAAGCUGCAGAGUCAUUCUCCGUCGAAAUGGUUGAGUUACUGUUACGGUAUGGCGCAUCUGCCAAUCAGCGCACCUCGGGUAAUAAAAUCAUCGACGGCCUCCUCCCACUCCAUAUUGCCAUCGAGAACACUUGCCAGCAUAAGUAUCUAGAGGACAACCUAUUAGUUGACGAGAACUACAGGAAGGGGAAUGUUGGGUACAUCUACAAGCUCAUACAUCUGCUUUGCCUGCCUGAGAUGAAGAUCUUCUUGGAUACCACUAGAUUGCUUGCAGCUCACACCGAUAAUGUAGUCGAUGAGCUCUGGAAUUACAUCGAGCAUGGGAAGAUUGUCCCUGCAGCUAUUCUUCUCCUUGCAGCUCAAAGGCGAUUCCGUAAGCUCAAUGGUUUUGAUAUGAUCAAGAACCGUAUUGAUGAUUCUAUAUUCUCCCUGAUAAGGGAGGGGUGUGGAUUGCAAAUUGGUAAAAAUACCAAGGCAGCAAAGCAGUGGAAGGAGAAGGAAGUACGUUUCUAUAAUGUGUUGUUCCUUGUUAGGAUAAUUCUGAAAGCUGGUGAAGCUCUUGAUGCAUAUAUUCAAACUCAUUCAGAGGUACCACCUUUUCAUUUGAUGCAUAUAUUUGUUUUUUCUUGUUUUACCGAAUCUUAAUAUUCUAGUAUGUUAUGGUUUGGCUUUUGAACCUUAAAGUAUUGAUCAUAGUGAGAAAAUAUUGUAUAACAGUUCCCUUGCCGACCACAACGAAAAGAACAGAGUUUUUUCUUUUUGACUUGCAAGGCAGGUGAUCUGCCGAACAGAGUAUCUGGUUGUUUUUUCUUCUUGUUUUACCAAAUCGUCAUUGUCAUCAGACAUCUUUUUUUUUCUUGGAUUUUCUCUUUUAUGACAUCUUUAUAAUCAAUAUCUCCUGAAAAUGUGCAUUAUCAGUAUUUUCCUAAGUUAUAGUACUAAAUCGGUUAUUCGGGGGAAGCCAUAGAGACAACUAGUUCCAUAUUGUAGUUGGGUACUAUUUACUGAUUGAAAAAGGUUGUUGUUACUAUAAAUUUAUUUAUUUUGAGAUACUUGAUUGCUUGACCAUACCAAUCUUACCAAAUGUUGGUGUCACCAAAACUCAUGUGUGGCCAAUAGUCUGGCAUAAGAAGAGUGUUUGCUUGUCACUGCCCUGUAGCAAGUCUGGUCAAUGUCCAGUCACAUAAAUAACAACUGGCAUUAAUGUAAUUGCACCGCAGCAAUUAUCAACUAGCAUAAGUUUAUUGCGUAAGUUGAUAGACCGAUAAACUAAUACAAGAUAGUAGCAAGCAUGGCAUCGCAGGAAAAUAACCCAAUUAGUAAAAGCCAUUCUGAUGAUCAUCCCACUCCCCAACUCAUUGGAGCGCUCCUCAACCCAUUACUCUCUUCACCACCAUGAGCAUGAUAUGAAUGAUCAUCUUCAAAGUCACAAUCACCCACAUCUUCACCACGCACGGAGAUAUUUUGAUCCAACUCAACUACUUUUCAUGGGCAUCCAUGUCUAAGCAUCGACAUCACCAUGAGCUCAAACCCUGAAGAUUUAAUAAGAUUGCGGAUACAAGUGUACUGGUAUCUAUCUGUUAAGCACAUUUGAGAUCUGUAGUGGUAGACUGCUAGUCUAGUGUUUUAAGUCUUUGGCACUCCAGGCCAUUUGGGUUUAUGGGACAGGUUAGAACAUAGCACAUGAGUUGAGUACGAUUGGACACUUAUCAAGUAAAUUGAAACAAGUCAAACUUAAUUACCUUUGUUACUGGGUUUAUAGAAUAAUAUGCAGGCAUCUCAUCACGAGGUCCAUGGAAAAGUUUCAGCAGUUCUCAAAAGUUAUGACGUUGGUUCUCUCGGAAAAGAUAUUUGCAUUGAAGACCUUCAAUGCUUCCCCUAUGACUGUGGAGGGCCGGACGGUGUGUUACAUGAACACGGGGACACAGAUUUGACCAAGGCAGCCACUGGAUCACCUACUCCGGAAGUCAAGGAGAAAAAUGUAAGGAUAUUUGAACUUGAUUUCCUCUCGAUUUUUCUAUCUCUUAUUUUGCUGGAUGCUGAUUAUCGUUUUUUAUGAAUUUUGUGUUUUCUGUUUUAAUUUCUUUCUGAUGUGUACAUGCUGAGACUGAUAAAAAUGUUUUAAUAUUCAUUUGUAUGAUGAGAGUCACAUUCAAGUCUUCAGGCUAAAAUUUCACGGAUUAUCCCAUAUUUUAGUGUUGCGUGUACAAAUUCAAGAGUUCAUUGAUGGCUAGAGCUGAAACCCUUGUUUUAGUUUUUAUCUGGAUAACUGAUGUUGUGCAAAUGAUCUUAUAUUGUUGUUGGGUGGUAGGUGCGACAUAUGCCAACGGGUG